GCCGGGCGUGGUGGCUCAUGCCUGUAAUCCCAGCACUUUGGGAGGCUGAGAUGGGUGGAUCACCUGAGGUCAGGAGUUCGAGACCAGCCUGGCCAACAUGGUGAAAUCCUGUCUCUA
rnacentral:sRNA from 1 species